rnacentral:rRNA from 1 species
UGGGGAAUAUUGGACAAUGGGGGCAACCCUGAUCCAGCAAUGCCGCGUGGAUGAUGAAGGCCUUCGGGUUGUAAAGUCCUUUCGGCGGGGAAGAUGAUGACGGUACCCGCAGAAGAAGCCCCGGCUAACUUCGUGCCAGCAGCCGCGGUAAUACGAAGGGGGCUAGCGUUGUUCGGAAUUACUGGGCGUAAAGGGCGCGUAGGCUGUGCUGUAAGUCAGGCGUGAAAGCCCCGGGCUCAACCUGGGAAUUGCGCUUGAUACUGCGGCGCUGGAAGGUGGGAGAGGAUGGCGGAAUUCCCAGUGUAGAGGUGAAAUUCGUAGAUAUUGGGAAGAACACCGGUGGCGAAGGCGGCCAUCUGGCCCAUUUUUGACGCUGAGGCGCGAAAGCGUGGGGAGCAAACAG